AUCAAGAUGUUGUGCUGGCCUGUAGAAUUCAUAUGCGCAAGAUUUGUGAAUCAGUGAUGGAUUCCUUUGAAGGACCGAAUUAUAAGAUUCAGUUCGAGGACUGUUUGAAAGUUCUUCAGGAAUGUCAACAAGACGGCCGGAAGUUUGAUUACGUUAUCAACGACCUAAGCGAAUAUAUAAUCAACGCAGAAAAUACAAAGUUUGCCUAUGACUUUGAAACAACGUGCAUUAUUCUAGAGCUAUCCUUGAAGAUCCUCAGUCCGCACGGAAAAUACCUGU